CGGACACUGCCGGGUACGAGCAUACGCGAACAUCCCUGAGGCGAUAUAUCAUCCUAGGGAGCUAUCCCUGCCCGGGGCCUUGCCCCGAUGCACAUGGCGCCCACCUGACGUACUUGGCGUCAGAGGAUAUUCCGGCAAACGGCCAUGGCGGUUCCGUC
rfam:Alpha proteobacterium JLT2015 contig00001, whole genome shotgun sequence.